GUGACUGCCGGUGACAAACCGGAGGAAGGUGGGGAUGACGUCAAAUCAUCAUGCCCCUUAUGACCUGGGCUACACACGUGCUACAAUGGACAGAACAAAGGGCAGCGAAACCGCGAGGUUAAGCCAAUCCCACAAAUCUGUUCUCAGUUCGGAUCGCAGUCUGCAACUCGACUGCGUGAAGCUGGAAUCGCUAGUAAUCGCGGAUCAGCAUGCCGCGGUGAAUACGUUCCCGGGCCUUGUACACACCGCCCGUCACACCACGAGAG
rnacentral:rRNA from 1 species